AGAGUUUGAUCCUGGCUCAGGAUGAACGCUGGCGGCAUGCCUAAUACAUGCAAGUCGAACGAGGGUCCUUCGGGACUCGAGUGGCGAACGGGUGAGUAACACGUAGGGAACCUGCCCGUGCGACCGGGAGAACUUUCGGAAACGGAAGCUGAUACCGGAUAGGGACAGAGACGGCAUCGACUCUGUGUUAAAGGAGCUGAAAGGCUCCGCGCACGGAUGGACCUGCGGUGCAUUAGCUAGUUGGUGAGGUAACGGCCCACCAAGGCGACGAUGCAUAGCCGGCCUGAGAGGGCGGACGGCCACACUGGGACUGAGACACGGCCCAGACUCCUACGGGAGGCAGCAGUAGGGAAUUUUCGUCAAUGGGCGCAAGCCUGAACGAGCAAUGCCGCGUGAACGAGGAAGGUCUUCGGAUCGUAAAGUUCUGUUGAAGGGGAAAAAGAGCGGAGAGAGGAAAUGGUCUCCGAUUGAUAUUACCCUUCGAGGAAGUCACGGCUAACUACGUGCCAGCAGCCGCGGUAAUACGUAGGUGGCGAGCGUUAUCCGGAAUGAUUGGGCGUAAAGGGUGCGUAGGCGGCCUGCUAAGUCUGGAGUGAAAGGUACCGGCUCAACCGGUACAGGCUCUGGAAACUGGCGGGCUAGAGAGCAGGAGAGGGCGGUGGAACUCCAUGUGUAGCGGUAAAAUGCGUAGAUAUAUGGAAGAACACCAGUGGCGAAGGCGGCCGCCUGGCCUGUUACUGACGCUGAGGCACGAAAGCGUGGGGAGCAAAUAGGAUUAGAUACCCUAGUAGUCCACGCCGUAAACGAUGAGGACCAAGUGUUGGGGAAGACCCAGUGCUGCAGUUAACGCAGUGAGUCCUCCGCCUGGGGAGUAUGCACGCAAGUGUGAAACUCAAAGGAAUUGACGGGGGCCCGCACAAGCGGUGGAGUAUGUGGUUUAAUUCGAAGCAACGCGAAGAACCUUACCAGGCCUUGACAUAGGGUGCGAAGCUAUGGAGACAUAGUGGAGGUAAACAUCCAUACAGGUGGUGCAUGGUUGUCGUCAGCUCGUGUCGUGAGAUGUUCAGUUAAGUCUGGCAACGAGCGCAACCCUCGUGAUGUGUUACCAAUAUCGAGUUAGGGACUCACAUCAGACUGCCGGUGAGAAACCGGAGGAAGGCGGGGAUGACGUCAAAUCAUCAUGCCCCUUAUGGCCUGGGCUACACACGUACUACAAUGGCGGCGACAGAGGGCAGCGAGCCUGCGAAGGCAAGCGAAUCCCCAAAAAGCCGUCCCAGUUCGGAUUGGAGUCUGCAACCCGACUCCAUGAAGUUGGAAUCGCUAGUAAUCGCGGAUCAGCAUGCCGCGGUGAAUACGUUCUCGGGCCUUGUACACACCGCCCGUCA
rnacentral:rRNA from 1 species